rnacentral:tRNA from 1 species
GCAGAUAUAGUUUAACGAAAACGCCAGAUUGUGAUUCUGAAAACAGAGGUUGAACCCCCCUUAUCCGCC